GUCCACGCCCUAAACGAUGCACAUUCGCUGUUUCGAGUAUCGACCCUCGGAGUGGCUUAGCUAACGCGUUAAAUGUGCCGCCUGGGAAGUACGAUCGCAAGAUUAAAAACUCAAAGGAAUAGACGGGGACUCGCACAAGCGGUGGAGCAUGAGGUUCAAUUCGACACUAAACGAAAAACCUUACCAGGGUUUGAAAUGUACGUGAAUACACUUGGAAACAGGUGUAGCCCCUUAAAAGGCACGUGCACAGGUGCUGCAUGGUUGUCGU
rnacentral:rRNA from 1 species